GAGGUUUCUCUUCUUUUCCCUCUUUGCGAACUCCAGGGUCUCGUGAAUUCCUUGGCAGGGACCUGGUCUUCUCUUGUAGAGGGUUAGUUACAAAACACAUUCAUAAUGUCCCUGGCUAAAUGUCCCAGCCAGGAGUCAAGAAGAACUCAAUUUCCUGGCCUGACUUUUUUGGACUGUGACCACUCCAGGUGUUGGGACUGCUCAGGAAAUAAGAGGCAGAACAUGUGUGCGUGUUUUUAAAAAAAGCACAGAGCGCUUGCUGGGGACCCAGAUGCUUAUCCGGGCUGUUGGCCUGUAGCACAAAGUAGAUCCUGAAAGAAAAAGGAAAGAAAAAAGAAAGGUAUUCUCCAAGAAGAGAGGUCCUUUUAAAGAAUGAGCAUCAAGCAUCCACUCUAAAAGGAAGAUGGAGAAAGCCAGUGCAAGGCCUGCCUGUUGGGCAUCAUGUGGAUUUGCCCUUGGCUCUUGUGUUCACUCGGAGCCCUCUGGUGUCCCGUUUCCAGCUGGGCUGUGCACGCACCCUGGGGAUUCAGUGGAAGAGGAGCAAUCUGAAUCCAGCAGUGCUGAGAAAACCCAAGAGCUACAUGGCCAGCAUUUCCCAUCAGAGAGCCAACAGGGCCCCUGGUUUUGCCUUCCCGCCCACCAGCCCUGGUUAAUGGAGCUUUUGUUCUGCCUGAUGCUGCCUUGCUAAUCAGGGUGUAUCAUAUGGGAGCUAUCAGGAGAGCGGGGCCUGCUUCACAAAGGAACACAGGUUGCCUUUAGAGUUGGCUACAAAACUUAGAGCUUGGUGAUGGCUCAGGCACAAAAGAGCUGGCUGUACUUGAGGCUGACUUCCAUUCUACCUGUGACUAUUACAUUCAAGGUAGUGAACGCUUGAAGCCUCUGGCAUCCUGAUCCCAUGAUUACUGCAGAGAAAAGAGUGAUGAAUGAAAGCCCCUGUCAUCGUGUAGUUUAAUACUGGCAUUGCUCUUGGGAGCCAAGGAGUCCUAGAUGACUGAAUUCUGCUGUGAGGUCUGUAGCUCAGGGAGAAGAUGAGACAAGUGGACUUGGAAAGAACAAUCUUCCUCGAAAAAGUCCUCAGGGUGCAAAGAAGAGAAAUGCAAUAAAAUGAUAAUGAGGAGGCCCAGGACCCGCACAAGGGCACCACUGCAAGUAGAUACUUCGAGGAAACUUCCUGAUGCUUGUCCAGCCCUUGGUGGUGGUGCCCGGCAGCCCGUAUUCUUAUCCCAAAGCAAUAUGUGUGGAGACAGCCCAGCAAAAGCUGAGAGAUUGUGUGUCCAGAGACAUGUUCCAGGAAUGGAAACAGAGAGUGGAGGAGUUUCUUCUCUCCUCCCGUCUCCCGCUAGAGUGGGCGGUCCCUUUGGUGUCAUCGCACUGUCUUCAUAGCCUACUGCGCUCCAGGCCUGUGCGCCCAUGGCGGUCUUGGACCACGAGUGAGCCAUGAGCCCUCCCAAGCCCCAAGGCCAGGUCUGAAGCGGGCUGAUGUGUGCCCCUGGCUUUGUUGCCCAGAUCCUCACCACAAUCCCAGCAUCCCACCACUCUACUGCGAGAAGAGACAAGGGAGGAGAUGCACACCUCAGAGAAGGAGCAGAUUUCAUUCAAAGUCCGAGGGAGGCCAGGGCUCCUGGUCCUGGACUUCGUGUCAAUUGGUUCUUCCUGGAAAAGACAAUUGGAGGCACCUUCACCUUGUUUUUACUAUAUGGGUCGCGUGGCAGUGCUGGAGAAAAAGACAAUCCCCAAAGAGCACAUUGUCCUAAAGGAAGAGUCAACACCUGCUAACAGUUUAUCUUGUCAUACUAAGCCUCAAGCCCUGAGCACCAUUGCUCAGCUGCACUCACGGUCUUGGUACUGUUGCCUGGUGUAACUACACAACCUCUGGGCUGAUGACGCAAAAACACGUGAUAUGUAAUAGCUCAUUUAAUUCUCGCAACUGUAAUUAUCCCCAUUUCAUGACUUCCAUUUGACGGAAAGAUUAAGCGGCUAAUCCUCCAACACAAUUUAAGUGGCUUGUUCCAUAACUAGUGAAGAGAUUGAAAAUUUGAACUCCUCUGCCGAGCUCCGGAACCUGUGCUCCUAAGGGAGGAAUGGGCUGGAGCUCCCCACAGUGGUCAUCAUGUAAACCCAACACUUCCUACAUUCAUUGAUUUCUGCCUAAUUUACAUUCCUCUUUUGUUAGUUGCUCACAAGUCCCUCCUCCAUCCUCUUCUUCCCAAGCCCUGGUCAUUAAAAUCAAAGUCUUAAAUCUCAGAUACCACUCUCCCUGCACCUAGGCCCUUAUUUUCAUCCGUAUCCAGAGAGUCUUAACCUCUUGUCUUACGUUUGUCUAACUUGAACCUGUACGACCUAUUCCUUGAGACUCUAUAUUUUAAAAACCUGCACAGAUCUUAUCAAAAAAUUAUUUGUACCUCUGCUUCUACCAUUAGGUGACCAUUGCCUUUUCUCUGAAGACACCAUUUCUCUUGUAAUCUUCUCAACGUAUCUUUCUCUUAUUCCUGUCCCUUAACUGAACGAAAGUGGGAUCGGCUUUUCCGUUCUCUCCAGUACUUCUCUCGACCACUGUUUUGUGAUUAUUAUCCAAGAGCUUUGCUGGUGUUGGACUCCAUAUAGCACUGUUUCUAACACUUUCUUGCUUUCCUGAGUGACCCCAGCAUCUGGCUCACAGCCUUCCCUUUCCUUGCUAAAGUCCGAGCGACUCCGACAUCAAAAUUGAUCAUCUUCCCAACUGUGUACUCAGGCAGUGUUCAAGUUCCACUUCCCGAGGGAGUUCUGUCUUGCUUCCAUGGAGCUGUCCACCUGGUUGUCUCAUUUUUAAACAGCUUUAUUAAGAAAUCAUCGACAUACAAAAAUGUAUACAUUUAAGAUGUGCAACUUGAUGUUUUAGUAUACGUUAUUAAAUUAUCACCACAAUCAAGCUAAUUAAACAUAUCCAUUACCUCUGCAUAGUUGCAAUUGUUUAUGUGCGUGUGUGUGUGUGUGUGUGUGUGUAGUGAGAAGAUUUAAGAUGUGUCCUCUCAGCAAAUUACUAGUAUACAAUACAGUUUUGUUAAUUAACAUGACCAUGCUGUACAUAAGGUCUCUAGAAAUUAUUCAUAUUUCAUAACUGAAUCUUUGUAUCUUUUGGCCAGUAUCACCCUAUUUCUUCCUUGACCAGGCCCUGGAAACCACUAUCCUACUAUCUGCUUCUAUAAAUUUGACUAUUUUCAAUUUCACAUAUAAAUGAGAUCAUGCAGGA